rnacentral:sRNA from 1 species
ACACAGGGAAGGAGGUGGUCCGUCAAAUUGAGUGACUUAUGGACAUGUGAGGUGGCUGCGAGCUAGCAGCGCCGGGGAGUCACCUGCAGCGCGCUGGCGAAUUCCCCGCAGCCACCCGGCCCCCGAGCCCCUCGGUUUUCGUCCGACCAGGAACAGCGGCUCGGGGGCCGCUCCAU